GACGGCUCAGUAACACGCGGAUAAUCUGCCCUCAGGUGGGGAAUACUCUCGGGAAACUGAGGCUAAUGCCCCAUAGAUCUGGGAUGCUGGAACGCUUCCAGGUCGAAAGCUCCGGCGCCUGAGGAUGGGUCUGCGGCCUAUCAGCUUGUAGGGGGUUUUACAGACCCCCUAGGCUUCGACGGGUACGGGCUAUGGGAGUAGUCGCCCGGAGAUGGAUUCUGAGACACGAAUCCAGGCCCUACGGGGCGCAGCAGUCGCGAAAACUCCGCAAUGUGGGAAACCACGACGGGGGAACUCCCAGUGCGUGCACUUUGUGUACGCUGUUCUCGUGCCUAAAAAGCACGAGAAGUAAGGGCCGGGUAAGACGGGUGCCAGCCGCCGCGGUAAUACCCGCGGCCCGAGUGGUGCUCAUUAUUAUUGAGUCUAAAACGUCCGUAGCCGGUCGGGUAGAUUCCUGGGUAAAUCGAACCGCUCAACGGUUCGAAUUCCGGGGAGACCGUCCGACUUGGGACCGGGAGAGGCGCGAGGUACUCCUGGGGUAGGGGUAAAAUCCUGUAAUCCUGGGAGGACCACCAGUGGCGAAGGCGUCGCGCUAGAACGGAUCCGACGGUCAGGGACGAAGCCCAGGGGCGCAAACGGGAUUAGAUACCCCGGUAGUCCUGGGUGUAAACGCUGCAGGCUUGGUGUCGGGGGUCCUACGGGGGCGCCCGGUGCCGGAGCGAAGGUGUUAA
rnacentral:rRNA from 1 species